ACGGGAGGCAGCAGUAGGGAAUCUUCCACAAUGGACGCAAGUCUGAUGGAGCAACGCCGCGUGAGUGAAGAAGGUUUUCGGAUCGUAAAGCUCUGUUGUUGGUGAAGAAGGAUAGAGGUAGUAACUGGCCUUUAUUUGACGGUAAUCAACCAGAAAGUCACGGCUAACUACGUGCCAGCAGCCGCGGUAAUACGUAGGUGGCAAGCGUUGUCCGGAUUUAUUGGGCGUAAAGCGAGCGCAGGCGGAAGAAUAAGUCUGAUGUGAAAGCCCUCGGCUUAACCGAGGAACUGCAUCGGAAACUGUUUUUCUUGAGUGCAGAAGAGGAGAGUGGAACUCCAUGUGUAGCGGUGGAAUGCGUAGAUAUAUGGAAGAACACCAGUGGCGAAGGCGACUCUCUGGUCUGCAACUGACGCUGAGGCUCGAAAGCAUGGGUAGCGAACAGGAUUAGAUACCCUGGUAGUCCAUGCCGUAAACGAUGAGUGCUAAGUGUUGGGAGGUUUCCGCCUCUCAGUGCUGCAGCUAACGCAUUAAGCACUCCGCCUGGGGAGUACGACCGCAAGGUUGAAACUCAAAGGAAUUGACGGGGGCCCGCACAAGCGGUGGAGCAUGUGGUUUAAUUCGAAGCAACGCGAAGAACCUUACCAGGUCUUGACAUCUAGUGCCAUCCUAAGAGAUUAGGAGUUCCCUUCGGGGACGCUAAGACAGGUGGUGCAUGGCUGUCGUCAGCUCGUGUCGUGAGAUGUUGGGUUAAGUCCCGCAACGAGCGCAACCCUUAUUAUUAGUUGCCAGCAUUAAGUUGGGCACUCUAAUGAGACUGCCGGUGACAAACCGGAGGAAGGUGGGGAUGACGUCAAGUCAUCAUGCCCCUUAUGACCUGGGCUACACACGUGCUACAAUGGACAGUACAACGAGAAGCGAGCCUGCGAAGGCAAGCGAAUCUCUGAAAGCUGUUCUCAGUUCGGACUGCAGUCUGCAACUCGACUGCACGAAGCUGGAAUCGCUAGUAAUCGCGGAUCAGAACGCCGCGGUGAAUACGUUCCCGGGCCUUGUACACACCGCCCGUCACACCAUGGAAGUCUGCAAUGCCCAAAGCCGGUGGCCUAACCUUCGGGAAGGAGCCGUCUAAGGCAGG
rnacentral:rRNA from 1 species